GGGCAGUUAGUACAGCCUGCCAAACUGACCCCUGGGUGCCAGAGUGUUCCUGUGCUGCGUUGGAGAAGAGGUCCACAGGCACUAUCACUAAAGAGCUCGGGGCCCAGCUAGAUUACCAAUUUAUGGAGCUGACGGAGAGUGAGAUCAGUGAAGACCAUAACUCACUGUAUGAACCUGAGAGCUCAGAAUCACAAUCAUCACAGUGCCAAGAUAUACUAUCAAUCACUUUGGGGGGAGCGGGCUGGUGUUCUGAAAAUGGAGAAGGAGCAGGCCAUUCAACAGCCAAUUCAAAGAUACGCCCAUCCAUAAAGGGAAUCAGAGUGGAAUUGCUUUUCCACUGAUUUUUCUUUAUUUUGUUACCCGUUUCAACGGAUGUGCUACCUUAUCCCAAUCCUGCUGUAUCGACUCUCUCAACCUAUAAAUGAUCAGCUAUGAAAAGCCAACUGACAUUUGCUUCUGAGGUGUUGAACUGUUGCUCCCUCUAUAACCACUGUGAUUAUUAUUUUGAUGUAAAACGGGCUUUUGUAAAAUAUAUUUGAUUGAUUGUUUGUUGUGCUGGAUGCUGUGUAUUCACUAACUGUCUUAAGUGAUGGGACAUUUUUAUAGUAUCUUUAACAUAUUUCAGUUUGUAUUUAAUCUGCAUUUCAACUUCUUAAAGUGCCAAUCAGCAGUAGAAAGAAUAGCAAAGAGCCUCCCUGCUCCUGUUUCGGUAAAAAGCUGAGGGAUGGGGCUGGAGAAAUGUAACCACUCUCAAAUUCAUAGACAGAGAUAUACUGUAGAUGCGAAGAAUGACUAUCCAUGAUAUCAAAAGUGUAAUCUUGUUUCUAUGGUCUGUUUCCACUACCAUGUACCCAGUUCGCUUAGGAUAAAGGCAUCUGCUACAUGGCAUAUAUUAUUAAAGUCUACUUUGACUCUGCCAACUA